CACGUAGGGCGCGAGCGUUGUCCGGAAUUAUUGGGCGUAAAGAGCUCGUAGGCGGCCUGUUGCGUCCGCCGUGAAAGCCCGGGGCUUAACCCCGGGUCUGCAUUCGAUACGGGCUAGCUAGAGUGUGGUAGGGGAGAUCGGAAUUCCUGGUGUAGCGGUGAAAUGCGCAGAUAUCAGGAGGAACACCGGUGGCGAAGGCGGAUCUCUGGGCCAUUACUGACGCUGAGGAGCGAAAGCGUGGGGAGCGAACAGG
rnacentral:rRNA from 1 species